GCUGGGCAUGGUGACACAUGCCUGUAAUCCCAGCUACUCAGGAGGCUGAGGCAGGAGAAUCACUUGAACCCAGGAGGCAGAGGUUGCAGUGAACUGAGAUCAAGCCACUGCACUCUGGCCUGGGUGACAAAGUGAGACUCUUUCUUUA
ensembl:misc_RNA Metazoa_SRP Metazoan signal recognition particle RNA